UCUUCUUUCCUUCUUAAAUUCUUCCUCCUUCAUUUUUUAUUUCGUGUUUGUUUGUUUUUUACAAACACGCUAUUCUAUCUACCUCUCUGUUCAACUUACCUCCAGAUCUCACUCAAACUUUCUUUCUUUCUACUUUCUCCUGUCACGCGCGCUAUUGAUCUACCUAUCUUUCUAUUUCUACCACUUAUAAUCAUUUCGUAUAAAUACACAGACUUACUCUCUGCCCCCCCCCCCCCGCUCUCUCUCUCUCUCAUUCUGCUUCCGUUUCUUCCUCUCUCCUUCAGUUACUGUCUGUAUUUCUCUCACACACUCUCAGAGAGCCUCAUUUGUGUGUUAGCCAUAUCGUCGCAUCUGUUUCUCUAAAAACAUACAUUCAAACAUACAUACACACACAAGCAUAUAUAUAUAUAUACAUACAUACACAUACACACACACACACGCGCGCGCGUACAAACACACUCACAGACACACUCUCACAUCAGAGGAUUAUCCAGGGAUUUAGCUGCUGACAACAAUGGGAUCACCACAUUUGGAUAUUUUUGGAACUUAAGGGCUCGUGCCCGGGUGAUAUAUAUACGUACUUUACAUCAGUAUAUAAUAUAUAUAUAUAUAAUAUAUAUAUAUAUAUAUAACAUAUAUAUAUAUAAUGUGGCAUUAUGGAUCAUAAGAUCCAGGGUGGGUCUUGCUUGUGCUGACAUCCCUGAUGUUUCUAAUAGCAACACUUGCUAUUCUAGCAAACGACUCUGGAGCCAGCUCAGAUCGCCGGAGCGACCUCCCUUCAGCCACAUCCUUGGCAGCAUCUCGAAACGCCUCGCUCCGUCACCAACAACAGCAACACCCCACAUCAAUAGGAAUUCGGAAAAGGGACCCCACAUCAUCGGCCAACACAGCGGCAUCCGAUCACCAUCACCAUUUUCCACAUCACCACUCACAUCAUCAUCAUCACCACCAACAUCCUCCACCAUUAUUGUCUUCAACUAGUACGACUGCGGGAGAUCCAACCACAGCCACAUCAGGAUCAUUCCGUGCUAAACAAGGUCGAUCCGAAGUGAAAAUAGCUGAUCCUGUAGUGACGAGUGGUGUUAGUGGUUCUUUACAGCUAGCAGCGUCUCCAGCAGUCGUGCAACCUCCAGGUAGUCUUAUUCCUGCAGGCAACAAUAACCUUCCUAUUCAAGGAGGUGGCAGAGGAGUUGGCAGUGGUGGUGUUGGCAGUGGUAGUGUGGUAGGUGUGGGAGUAGGAGACAUGUCGUCGGCCCUGCAACGACCCUUCUAUGCAACAUCCUCAAUAGGAAGCCCUCCUGAUCCGGCUUCAAUUUUGAGGAGUAGGGAAGUUUCUAAACGUGUUAUCCUAAAUGUGGGUGGGGUAAAACAUGAGGUAUUGUGGCGCACUCUUGACCGCAUGCCUCAUACUCGGCUUGGUAAGCUGAGGGACUGUAAUACACAUGAUGCAAUUGUUGACCUUUGUGACGAUUAUAGCUUGGCCGAAAAUGAAUACUUUUUUGAUCGACAUCCUCGAUCGUUUGCCUCCAUCCUCAACUUUUACCGCACUGGAAAACUUCACUUGGUGGAGGAAAUGUGUGUGCUGGCAUUCAGUGAGGACUUGGAGUACUGGGGUGUAGACGAACUUUAUUUAGAGUCAUGUUGUCAGCAUAAAUAUCAUCAGAAAAAAGAACAUGUGUUUGAGGAGAUACGCAAAGAGGCUGAGAGUCUCCGAAAGGGAGAGGAUGAAGAUUUUGGUACCGGCUCGUUUGCCAAAUGGCGACAACGAGUUUGGGACCUCCUUGAGAAGCCGACAACGUCCAUGGCUGCGAGGGUCUUGGCCAUUGUGUCCAUUCUCUUCAUUGUCCUGUCUACCGUGGCGCUAACAUUAAACACAAUUCCUGGGCUCAAAGGUGAAGGAGAGCAGGAAGGGGCUGAUAACCCACAGCUUGCAAUUGUAGAAGCUGUUUGCAUUGGAUGGUUUACCUUGGAAUAUCUGGGACGAUUCUGGGCCUCCCCGAAUAAGUGGAAAUUUUUCAAAGGACCUUUGAACAUUAUAGACCUAUUGGCAAUCAUGCCUUAUUUCAUUUCCCUAGGAUUGACUGAGACCAACAAGAGUACGACGGAACAGUUCCAAAAUGUCCGCAGAGUGGUGCAAAUCUUUCGAAUAAUGAGAAUUCUGCGAAUUCUAAAACUUGCAAGACAUUCAACUGGUCUGCAAUCCUUAGGGUACACUUUACAGAGAAGUUAUAAAGAGCUAGGUCUAUUAAUGAUGUUUUUGGCCAUUGGAAUACUCUUAUUCUCAAGCCUUGCCUACUUUGCGGAAAAAGACGAACCAGGAACUAAGUACGUUAGUAUCCCCGAAACAUUCUGGUGGGCUGCCAUCACUAUGACGACGGUAGGAUAUGGUGACAUCUACCCGACGACGAUCCUGGGAAAAGUUGUUGGUGGCGUAUGUUGUAUUUGUGGUGUGCUAGUUAUUGCGCUUCCAAUUCCAAUCAUUGUCAAUAAUUUCGCCGAAUUUUAUAAAGAUCAGAUGAGAAGAGAAAAAGCAUUGAAACGUAAGGAGGCUCUCGAGCGGGCGAAGAGGAAUGGAAGCAUAGUCUCCUUCCACUCCGUCAAUCUGAGGGAUGCCUUCGCCAAAAGUGUCGACUUAAUGGAUGUUGCCUCCGAGGUUCCUAGAAACGACUGGGAUACAAACAGUGUGGAGACGAAAUCCAUGAGUUCACCACCGCCUUGUGUGAUGCGGGGCUCAAACCCCAAUACACCCAAGUUGAGUGGGCAAGGUGGAACAACAAACUUCAACUGCAAAGAGAAUCAGGAAAAUCCCAGCAACACCAACCUGUUGGAUAUAGAUGAGGAGUCUUUGCAUCGGAUGACGACCCAAGCUUCAACUGAUACUUCAAUGCAGAACAAGUUUGAAUUUCCCUCAGAUCCUAUUAAUGGAAUGGACAGUGACAAUAAAGGCUGUAUUGAGAUGAAGACACUUCCUCGUCAAGAAAGUACUGCUAGUACGGAUACUUAUGCCAGCUGUUUCACACACCCGCAGAGUAGUCCUUCUAUCACAGGACGAUCUACUGAUCCAGCAAAUCAGGCAAAUAUUUGUGUCAAUCCAUUGGAGGAGCCAUCUUAUCAAAGUCAACUACCAUCUUACGAAGCUGUGAUGCAAUGUGAUUUUGCUAAUAACACAUCGAACUCAGAUGUUACUAACUAUCAGAAGGCUCCUCCAUUGGGUAGUGCAAUAUGCCAAAGUUUCAGUGGCAAUGUCAACCAGCCAUCUGAUCAGAUUAUACAGAAAAUUGAUGAUGGUUUAACCGCAACAUGGCAACGAAAUGUCUUAAUAUCUUCAGGUACAACUCCAUCAUCAUCUGUGGGUGAUGUUAGAGUUCAGACCAAGAUUGGUAGCCAUUCUGGCGGUGCUCCAUCAACAACAAAAACAGCCCUUAAACGAUAUAAGUCACUUUCGGGGGAAAAACAUCCUCGUUUUGCAGACUCUCAGAUUGAAAGAACAUAUUCUUCCACAGACAAUCUUCACAGAUACUCAAGACCAAAGUUGAAAUUUCGCAAAACAUCAUCUUUAUCAAGUCGUCUCCAUGCUAGUCCUGCUACAGGAAAAAAACUUGCGAAUUAUCAUCUUAUUGCACAUUCAAAGUCAGAUAAAAUCAAAGAUAACUCCUCCUCUGAUUCCUACUCAGAGCAGUCACCCUCAGUAAAGAGAGCUACACCAACCAUCAUUUCAGAUUCUCCUGCUACUUUGAAAAAAAAAUCGAUACUGAAAAAAGAUGCUUUAAAUAAAGAAGAGACUGAAACUCUUCUUGAAAAUUUCGCCGGGGAUCAAAAAACUCUAUGUUCCCAGACGUGUCGUCCCAAAAAUAUCAUGGACUCUGUGACUAUUGUCAACAACUAUCAAACAUUCAAUAAUCACAGUAAUAACGAACUUUAUAACAACCAACAUCAGUUCCACCACCACCACCACCAUCACCAAAACCAAAACCAUCAACUGCAACAGCAACAAUUGGAAACUGCCAACCCAACCAUCCUAUCAGCCAUGGUAACGUCUCCACCGAUUAAAGUAAUCUGUCCAAGCAUCGACUUGGACGAGGAGUCUGGUGCCAUGGCUAUUUCUUCCACCCCUACCCCUUCACCUACCGGCCCAACAGAUGAAUUGGAUUCUCCAGACAGUGACACCCAGAGCAACACUUCUGAAGAACGGGAAGGAGAAGAACUGGAAUUCAGUGACAGUGCAGCUAGCCUAGAGAAACUUAAGUGCUGGAAAGACUUGGACAAUAAAGAGCAACAGUUGCUUUGGCAACAGGACACAAGCCCCUCGGACAAUAUGGAUAAUGAUGAAAGCUAUCAAGGUACAAAUUCUGUUGACCAAUCAGCCUCAGAUAUUAGUCUCAUUGAACAGCCAACGUCAAGGUCAUCCCCAUCCAAUGAAGGUGAUAACCAUAUGGACAUUGAUAAAUAUGGUGACAAAUGUGCGGACUAUAUGACCGAAAAGAUGACUUCUUUGACGUUAGCUCAAAAUGGAGACUAUCCUCUCGACAAUUUAAUUAAUGAUAUUGAAAAAAAUUCUGAUGAUCCAAAAGACAAUGUAGUAUCAGCUGACGCCAGUGGCUAAUAUGUCAUUAGCGGAAGCUAAAUGGAAAUUAAAUGAGCCUCAUCUACAAGACGGCUCAAACUGGGUGACCUGGAAAGGUUUAACCUAACAUUUUGCUGCCUCAGAUUGCCACAGAUGCUGUCAAGAUGCAGAAAGAGAUGUUUAUGAAACCUUGUUCUCGUGACAGACAGUAAACUGAUGUGCAGUGUCUGUAGUAUUUACUUGUGAUAUUUUAGCCAAUAAGACACUGUCUGCAACACCAGCUAAUGAAUGACAUAACUCAACUGUCACAAUGAAAAGGUUUAAAAAAAAUUGCUAAUGAAAAAAGAAAAUUAGAAAACAAACAAAAACUAAAGAAUAUGAGAAAUUGAGUGCUUCCCCCACAGCAAAAGAAUUAAGUAUGGAUUCACAAGUGUACGUGCAAAAGUGAAGCUUAGUGUCAGUAAUCUGGCAAUAUUUCAUGGAGUCUAUGAUUCUUGCCAAAAAGGAAUUCUCUUGAUUUUGUGAAGGGCACCUGUUUGUAAGUAGAUCAUAUUUGACUGAGAAGAGCAAAGGGAAAAA
rnacentral:misc_RNA from 1 species